CCUACGGGGGGCAGCAGUGAGGAAUAUUGGUCAAUGGUCGGGAGACUGAACCAGCCAAGCCGCGUGAGGGAUGAAGGUACAGAGUAUCGUAAACCUCUUUUGUCAGGGAACAAAGGCGGGGACGCGUCCCCGGAUGAGUGUACCCGAAGAAAAAGCAUCGGCUAACUCCGGGCCAGCAGCCGCGGUAAUACGGAGGAUGCGAGCGUUAUCCGGAUUUAUUGGGUUUAAAGGGUGCGCAGGCGGUCUGUUAAGUCAGCGGUAAAAGCCCGGGGCUCAACCCCGGCCCGCCGUUGAAACUGGCAGUCUCGAGUUGGAGAGAAGUAUGCGGAAUGCGCGGUGUAGCGGUGAAAUGCAUAGAUAUCGCGCAGAACUCCGAUUGCGAAGGCAGCAUGCCGGCUCCACACUGACGCUGAGGCACGAAAGCGUGGGUAUCGAACAGGAUUAGAUACCCCAGUAGUC
rnacentral:rRNA from 1 species